UACGUAGGGGCCUAGCGUUGUCCGGAAUCAUUGGGCGUAAAGAGCUCGUAGGCGGUUCGGCAAGUCACGUGUGAAAUCUCCACGCUUAACGUGGAGGCGCCACGUGAAACUGCCGUGACUCGAGUCCGGUAGGGGAGUGUGGAAUUCCCGGUGUAGCGGUGAAAUGCGCAGAUAUCGGGAGGAACACCAGUAGCGAAGGCGGCACUCUGGGCCGGUACUGACGCUGAGGAGCGAAAGCCAGGGGAGCAAACGGG
rnacentral:rRNA from 1 species